UACGUAGGGUGCGAGCGUUGUCCGGAUUUAUUGGGCGUAAAGAGGCUCGUAGGCGGUUUGUCGCGUCGGGCCGUGAAAAUCUCCACGCUUAACGUGGAGCGUGCGGUCGAUACGGGGCAGACUUGAGUUCGGUAGGGGAGACUGGAAUUCCUGGUGUAGCGGUGAAAUGCGCAGAUAUCAGGAGGAACACCGGUGGCGGAAGGCGGGUCUCUGGGCCGAUACUGACGCUGAGGAGCGAAAGCGUGGGGAGCGAACAGG
rnacentral:rRNA from 1 species